rnacentral:tRNA from 1 species
CCCCUUGUGGUGUAGUUGGAUAUCACAUUCGACUGUAAUUGUUAAUUGUUAUCGAAAGGUCACCGGCUCGAUUCCGGUCGAGGGGA